AAAUAAUAAGGAGGAUGCAAGGUGUAGGAUUCUUUCUGCUUGCCUCAGUUUCUUUCAGGCUAUGGGAGUGAGCAGAGGGAAUUAAAUGUUUCAAAGCCUCUGCUUGAACCAUCUGAAGUAGAUUAGGAAUGAGAGAUGAAUGUUGUGCAACAACAGGGGCUUUACUACUGCAGGAGCGGGUGAUAUUGAGUAUAUUAUACUUUCUGAUUUAUAAUUCCUUCCUUAUCUGGAGUCUUGUAUCAAAUAUCUUUGUACACAAAGCCUGAGGAACAUUUGAUAGGAAAGCCCCUUGUGGGACAGGCCUGUGAGCCUUCUCUUGUACGUAAACCAGGUAAAAGCAACUGCAGAGCUCUUGACCACCAGAGUGGGCCAGAAUUACACAGGCACAGGACUGGUAAGCAAUGGUCACUAGUUUGUAUAGCUCCAUGACCCACACCUGCAGCACCCUUGGUUGCAGAGCUUCUGUGCUCACUCAGGGUCUUUUAACCUGAUCUCUGGGUGCAGGCCAUGCUCUGAGCUCCUGGGCUAUGCUUGACCCUCUGCCCUAGCUGGGUUUCCUCUUUCUGAAGUCUCUAAGAGUUGGACAGGUCAGCUCCCUACUCGCAGUUGUAACAGCCUUCAUUCUUGCCUUUCAUUUACUUCUCUGCGAAAACAGGGUUAAUGUGUUUUGGGCUCCUUUUUGCCUACCCCUAAUAACUUUCCAGCCUGAUGGGUGGUUGCAGCUGCGUGUGCCAGAGAUCUUAAAGAUAACAAGUUCCUACCAGCUUGAUAUAAAUAGAUGGCCAGGGAGAAGGCUUUAUCUUUGCCCCUCUCUGCCAAGGGAGUUCAAUCCUUAUCAGUCCAAGAGCAUCUGUGGGUGAGAGAGAAUGAAGAAGAAAGAGGUGUUAUGAAUGCCUAUGGGGAAAAUUGCACUUGGAACUGGUAUCCUACUGCAUCCUGAAGAAUCCCCCCAUGAUGUGUAACUCCAUGGAAAAUGUAAGUAUUGCUGGCCCUGCUAUGGGCUAAGUACUGUGUGAAGUUUUCUGUUGCUUUCUUUCACCGCAGCCUUUCAUCAUCAGAGCUCAGGGACAGGAGCCUGGCGCUGGAGCAGAGGGUUGCAGCCUGCUUCCCAGGGGGAUGAGGCUGGUUUAUGGGGCAGCUUUCCCUUCCAGCAGGCUUUGCUUUCCCUGGGCAAUAGCCACUAUUUCUAGGCUGGUCCUCUGGCUCAUCACCCAGCUCCUUUUCUGCUCUCUGCCUUCUGCAGAAAGCUGUUUAAUCAAGAGUGUAUCAAAAUCCAUCUGUCUACGCUAGUGUCAACAACUUAGCUUCAGGGACAUUUUAAAUAAUUUUCUUUCCACACUCUGUAAUGGAUUUCAUUGCUGAGGGGAUAGAGAGCAGGGCAGCAAAGGUAUUUUAAUUACAUCUGAUUGUGGCAUCUUGCAAGCUUGCCCUCUCAGUUGUUCUGGCACAGCACCAUUUAGAGCCCACUUUCAUGAGCACAGGCAUGUUAGCUGGGGGUUUACUGAUUGCAGAGAAAAAUAUUGAUGUUUUGCUCUCGACACCAUCUUGGGGCUGUGUCUUCUUUCUCUACCUUUCUUUUGUGGCGUCAGCUUCUUUCACAUUAGAGGAUUCCAGUCAUUCUAUAUCGUGUCACUUAGAAGCAGUGAAAAACACAGUCACCAGCCCUGUGGUGUGGGCAUCAUAUCCGGGCAGAGCAGAGGUACUUUGCUUGCUCUUAAUAUAGCCCACCUUACUGAAAGAGAAAUGGCCAUUUGAACCCUUUCUCCAGCUCAUAUCUUGGUUUCACAGCCUGUUAACCUAAACAGGGCUUCUCUUUUUCUCAGCAAAGUCAGGAAAGAUUGAAAUACUAUCUCCAGCAAGACUAUCUGGGGGAAGGAGCAGGCAAUGAGACAGGGAAAGCUGCUAGUCUUGCUGAAGCAUCCCGAUCAGACCCAUUGGGAUGGGUCAGCAAGCGGAGUAAGUCCUGGAACAGGCAGGAGUAUGGCAGGUGCAAUAAAGCACAUUUUCUGAAGCGCCUGCUCACCAAACAAGAGGAACUCCAGCUGGGUGCAUGUUGAAAUACCAGUGACUAUUGUAUCUUUUCAUGGCUUUAGGUGUAUUUUCACUAGCACUCAAGGCUAGUGGUAGCUGCAGCGCUGCCUGUAUGUUUUCAGGAGCAUUCAGCAGGUAGCAGGUAGCACCACUGCCCCUACUUAGACCUCCCUCUUCAAAUUAUUUAGCAUGGAAAAACCAGAAAGCCAGUUUGGAGGAACCCCAGUUUGAGGUUUGGAGGAAGGAGAGUUUGUCGAGAAGGAAAGUAGAGUUAAGGUCUUUAAUUUUAUUUUAUUUUAUAUUUUAUGGCUGCUAAUAUGCCUUUCCAUUCUUGCCAAAGCUGUUGUUUCUGAUUUAAUGAGAAACUUAAUCCUCAAUAUCCACAAUUUUUCAAUGUUGGAAAGUGUUUGUGUUCAUAACAACACUUACCUGUGCAAUUUCCUCCUCUUAAUAGAUGCAACCUCAGCUGCAGAUUAGAGAAGUGUUUUGUUUGUGAUUCCUAGGUGCUCUACACUUGAUGCAUUAUUUUCCUACAGACACAAGGCAAACUCUGCUCCUCCCUUCUGGCCUGGAUUGCAGUGAUGGAUUAAGUAGAACCUGAGCCGUCGCACCUUUCUGUGAGCUGGAGAAAGGAGAGGAAUCACAGCUCAUGGCAUCUGAACAGACACUUGGUAGCAGCAAGUGCUGGUUCAUCUGGAAAUACAGUGAGAAACGGGCUGGAGGGAGGAUACCACCUAUUCAUCCACAAAACAGUUUGGUCAGUGUGGCUCAGUCUCUGUCUAGUUCUUACCCAGUUCAGAGUGUCAGCAGUGGUGAAGGAAUGAACCACGACUCUGGUGCCUUCCUUCACACCUCCAGUGGAUGAAUUUUCUGCUAAAGGAUUGGGAAGGGUGUUGCUCCAGCAGCAGGAGAGGUUUGGACUCACGUAGCCUGUCCUUUACACAACAAGCUGCUCUGUCGCCUCUAGACAACUCCAUGCUGGUUGCUCGGAUUGAGUCUAAUGGCAAAGUUCAAGCCUGGAGGAUGAGUAGGUCUUGUAUGCUCCUGAAACUCUAAUGAAGAGAAAAGGCAGACGAAUCAGCAGGAAGUUAUGGUGGGCCUGUUCCCAGCCUUCUGGUCUUCGCAGGGAAUAUGCAUGGUGCCAGACUCUCCCUGCCUCAACCUCCCUCUGCAGUUACCUGGACUGCGGAGUCACAGUGGCAGUCCCAGCCACAGUCAUGGAUAAAGAAAUUUGGGAAGAUGAUAAAGACAAGAAGGUGGGAAAGUUAUGGGUGUGAUGCAUUGAUACAGAUUUCCUUUGGGACACCUGGACUUAAUGUUUCUGGUUUCUGGGCUGUUGCUGUGUCCUCAUAUUACUGCAACACGCACUUGGGACAGCAACUGCUGGAUGCAGUGUGACUGCACUGUCUUGGGACAGCAACUGGUGGAUGCAAGGGGCAGGAAGGGGAGUCCUCCCCUGUUGCCUCUUGUUAGAGUUAAAACAUGAGAUGGUCCUGACCAGUCUUUUUUCUCCUAGGACUGACCCAGCAGUCUCUUUCCAUAUGGCUUCCACUAGCUCGAGCUAGUGUCACUGUCAGUCAGUUAUUUCAGUGGCUGGGGAGGAAAAAUCCCUUCCCUGUGUACAAGAUGGGAUCUGUCUUGUGUCAGCUGAAUGCAAUCUGCAGACUUCAGCUCCUUGGAGCCCCUGCCUGCCUCUUGCCAGCCCAGCCUGGAUUUGGCAUUCACUGUCAGGUACCUGCUUUCUGCAUUCAGAGUAUGGAAAGUGUCAGCCUGGCAUUUCCCACUCAGCUCCUAGGGACAAGGCAGGUCCUGACUUAUGUGUUUUAUCAUUAAAAAGAUAAUUUCCUCUAGAUGUGUGCAAUAAGACAAUGAUGCUGACCUGUGAUCCUGGCAUUGCGCAGCAUUAAUGAUUUCCCUCUGCAGGUAAUAAGCAGUGAAUGUACACAUUUUGGGGAGAUCUGAUUUUUUUUCCCCCCUUUAAGACUGCUGUCUUCCUAGGCCAGACUUAAUUAGCAGACCUCAUUAUUUCCUCAAAUGUAACUUGACUUCCAUUGAAUGAGAAUUGUUCAGUGGAUGGGGAGCAGCAGAGCGGUGCUGCAAUAUUCAUAUUGUUUUAAUUGCAACAUUAACAUUUCAUGCUGCUCUUGGCAUACUUUCAGGUGCAGCCCUUUAGCUCAAUGCAACACUGUGAAAGGUUGGAUCAGAACAAUUAAGAUAGAGUGACUGGUUUUCUGGAUUUUCUCCCUUUUUUUUUUUUUUUUGUUUUUAAUGAAUGCAAGCCUGGAUUCAAUCCCCAUCACUCCUUUUGUUGGGCAGAACAGGGAGUCGAGCAGCCCUGAAGUGUAAAUCCUUGUUUUGGAAUAAAGGAUGUGCUGUAGUGCAUGUUUAAAUACUCUUUGUGUGGAGCUGAAGCCCUGCAAGGACAAGUGAUACGUGAUCCACCAGGCUGACCAGCAUCUCCUGGGACUUGACCUUUACCAGGUGAUUCAGAGAAGCCCCAAAAUGCAUCUGGCCAGCUGGGCCAGUGUCACAUAGGAGCUAGAGGGAAAAAGGCUAUUUUCCACUUCUCAAUUACUUCCAGGGCUCUGGAAUGCCUGAGGCUGCAAAUGACACCAUGAACAGAUAACAAUUGGGGCAGUACAGAUCCUAA